rnacentral:rRNA from 1 species
GAUGURAAURUAAAAACUAGAGUAUUAAUAGUUAUAUUCUUUAAAUUUAAAAAAUUUGGCGGUAUUUUAGUCUAUUCAGAGGAAUUUGUGUUUUAAUCGAUGAUCCGCGAUGGACCUUACUUAAAUUAAUAAGUUAGUUUGUAUACCGUCGUUAUGAAAAUAUUAUAAGAUAAAUAAUUUUAGAAAAAUUUAAUURAAUUUUAUAUCAGAUCAAGGUGCAGCAUAUGUUUAAGGAAAUAAUGAAUUACAAUAAUAAUAUUUAUAUGAAUAUAAUUAUGAAAAAUUUAUUGAAGGUGGAUUUGAAAGUAAAAUUAUAUAGAUUAAUAAUUUGAUUAUAGCUCU